AUGCCUAGCAAGAAGAUUAUGUUCUUCAAACUGAUCAUAAGCCUUAGCCUUGCUGCUCGCAGUACUGGCAAUGAGGACGAUCAAUUUGUAUACUCAGGCUUCACCGGCAGCAACCUCGCCCUUGAUGGCAAUGCCAGGAUCACGCCGAGCGGUCUCCUCGAGCUGACAAAUGGUACAGCUCGGGUUAAAGGCCAUGCAUUCCAUCCAAACCCCAUGCGCUUCCACAAAUCUCCCGAUGGCACGGUGCAGUCUUUCUCUGUAUCGUUUGUGUUUGCCAUCCUCUCCACCGACCCUGACUUGAGUGGUCAUGGCCUUGCCUUCUUCAUUGCACCAACCAGGAAUUUCUCAGCUGCAUUCCCAACCCAGUACUUGGGCCUCUUCAGUGACCAGAAUAAUGGUGACCCAAACAACCACAUUUUUGCGGUUGAGCUUGACACUAUCCAAAAUUAUGACUUAGAAGACAUCAACAGCAACCACAUCGGCAUCAACAUCAACAAUCUUCACUCUGUGCAAUCUCAUGAUGCUGGCUAUUACAGUAAUCAGAGUGGCAUCUUUGAGAGGUUGGCACUCAAUAGCCACGAGGCGAUGCAAGUGUGGGUGAACUAUGAUAGAGAGGCCAUACAGAUCAAUGUGACCAUGGCCCCCAUCAAUCUGGCAAAAUCUGAGAGGCCACUGCUUUCCACCACUUUUAAUCUCUCGACAGUAAUCACUAGUCCAGCAUAUAUUGGCUUCUCAUCCUCUACAGGCACAGUCAGCGCGCAGCACUACGUGCUUGGUUGGAGCUUUGGCAUGGACAGCCUCGCUCCACCCAUCGACAUUUCCAAACUCUCUGAGCUGCCCCGUCUUGGUCAGAAGGCUCAGUCCAUGAGAUUACAUAUACUUUUACCAAUAGGAAUUGUGGUGUUCCUCUUUGCAGUAACUGCUACCAUCUUUCUGCUCAUACGGAGGAAUCUAAGAUAUGCUGAGCUAUGUGAAGAUUGGGAGGUUGAGUAUGGGCCGCACCGGUUCUCGUACAAGGAUUUGUUUGAUGCCACAGAAGGAUUUAAAGACAAGAACCUACUAGGUGGUGGAGGGUUCGGAAAGGUAUACAAAGGGGUGUUGCCUAUAUCAAGAUUCAAUAUCGCUGUGAAGAAGGUGUCACACGACUCAAAACAAGGAAUGAAGGAAUUCAUUGCAGAGAUUGUUAGCAUAGGCCGCCUUCAACACCGCAAUCUUGUCCAAUUACUGGGAUAUUGCCGGCGAAAAGGUGAGCUUCUUUUAGUAUACGAUUAUAUGCCAAAUGGAAGCCUAGACAAAUACUUAUAUGGCAAAGAUGGAAAGCCUACUUUGGAUUGGUCUCAGCGGUUUCAAAUCAUCAAAUGUGUAUCAAAUGGAUUACUCUACCUUCACGAGGAGUGUGAGAAAACUAUCAUACAUCGAGACAUCAAGGCAAGCAAUGUGCUCAUCGACACCGAGAUCAGUGGGCGAAUAGGUGACUUUGGUCUUGCAAGGUUGUAUGAACAUGGUAGCGACCCAGAAACCACACAUGUUGUUGGCACCAUAGGAUACCUAGCUCCAGAGCUUGCACGCACUGGCAAGGCAACCCCAUUCACGGAUGUAUUUUCCUUCGGUGUGUUCAUUCUUGAGGUCACCUGUGGGCAAAAGCCCAUCAUGAAAGAUACGGAGGAAAGCCAUCUCAUGCUAGUUGACUGGGUGCUUGAACAUUGGCGUAAAGGUUCACUCAAUGAUGCAGUGGACAUCAAGCUUCAAGGCAAAUAUGAUGUUGGUGAAGCAUGCUUAGCACUAAAGCUAGGAUUAUUGUGCUCUCACCCAUUUACAAACAUAAGGCCAACUAUGAGGCAAGUCAUGCAGUACCUCAACAAGGAAAUGCCACUACCGGAGUUGAUGCCAACACAUUUAAGCUUCUGCAUGCUGGCUUUGAUGCAGAGCGAAGGUUUCAACCCUUACAUCAUAUCACAUUCUUCAUCAGCAACGAGCUUUGGCACAAUGUCAAGCCUUUCAGGAGGAAGAUAA
rnacentral:rRNA from 1 species